GAUGAAGAACGUAGCGAAAUGCGAUAAGUAAUGUGAAUUGCAGAAUUCAGUGAAUCAUCGAAUCUUUGAACGCAUAUUGCGCCCCUUGGUUAUUCCGGGGGGCAUGCCUGUCCGAGCGUCAUUACAACCCUCAAGCUCAGCUUGGUGUUGGGCCCCGCCGCCCCGGCGGGCCCUAAAGUCAGUGGCGGUGCCGUCCGGCUCCGAGCGUAGUAAUUCUUCUCGCUCUGGAGGUCCGGUCGUGUGCUCGCCAGCAACCCCCAAUUUUUUUCAGGUUGACCUCGGAUCAGGUAGGGAUACCCGCUGAACUUAAGCAUAUCAAUAAGCGGAGGA
rnacentral:misc_RNA from 1 species